CUAUGUCUAUGGAGUUCAUGUUAUAAGUUAUGUCUUAUAUAUAAUACUUUUUUUGCCAAAUUAUGCUAAUUUCUAGAUCUGAUUCGCAUUUGUGAUGCAUCGAAUGGUGGAUCAUCCAUAAUGACCCAUUGGUGCUGCACAUUCUGGUGGUCCCUGGUUCAUUUUAACACACCACAUAUUCGGUGUUGAGCAACCUAUUCGUGCACAUUUCAACCAACCCCGUGUAGGACAGGAACCACAAGGCGGAUCUUUUGCCCUGCCGCAUCGCUGAUGGAACCUGCACCCAGUGUUACCCUUAAUAAAGCAAAAUAAAGAAAUAUUAAAAUAAUACUGAUGUUCUUUAUAUAGUCAUGGAAGUUUCUACUAACUGCAUGUUUAUAAAUAUUUAUGUGCCGGGACGUACGACUGCCUGCAAGUAAUGUUCAUGGACACGAUUGGGAAAUGGAUAAAGUACAUGCAUGCAAACUAUAGUUAAUUAUUCAUGAUUUUCACAACACCCAUUUCAGUUAGCCCCAUCAUAGACAAUCCAGAAGACUGAUGGAUACCUCAAAUUAUCUAUCUCGCUCCUAGUGAAGAAGACUGAUAGAUACCUCAGAAGACUGAUAGAUAUCUCAAAUUAUCUAUCUCGCUCCUAGUGAACUAAUUUAACUAACUUACUGCAGUGGUCAACUCGAAAGCCUAGACUACUUUGAUCACUGUGCACAAAUGUUACUUUCAUAAUAAUCGUUUAUAAUGUAAUCUAUGGUAUUUAGUUUUCUGUAAUAUUUUAUGUAUUUUGUGUAUUUAUGUAUAAAUGUGCG